rnacentral:rRNA from 1 species
GACAGAGGUGCCAAGCGUUAGGCGGAAUCACUGGGCUUAAAGCGUGUGUAGGCGGAUGCCUAAGUACCUUGUGAAAUCCCACGGCUCAACCGUGGAACUGCUUGGUAUACUGGGUGUCUUGAGCCAUCUAGGGGCUACCGGAACAAAUGGUGGAGCGGUGAAAUGCGUAGAUAUCAUUUGGAACGCCAAUGGUGAAAACAGGUAGCUGGGGGUGUCCUGACGCUGAGGCGCGAAAGCCAGGGGAGCGAACGGG